GGACCGCCCCACCUGCCUUCCCCAGCUUCCCUCCCUCUAGCAGAGUCCCAGGUGUUCCCCCUCGGCAUCCCGGACUCAGCUACAAAACACAGGCCUGGGGUGUUCUCUGGGAUGGCUAGAUCCGUCCACCCUGGCUUCACAUCAGAAUCAUCUGGGGACCCUUAAAAAAUACCGAGGCCUGAAUCCCACUCUGGGUCAAUUAAAUCAGAUGUUCUGGGAGGGGCCUGUGAUUUUUGGACGAGGAGACCGAGGUCAUGAGCAGGGUUAUGUUUUAGACAGAGAUGAAGCCACAGCCAAAUGCUCUCUGGGGUGGUCACACUUGUGUGCAUAGAGCUGUGUAGUUGCAAAUGAGAGCACCCAGCUCGAUGGAGCUGCAGGAACACAGCAGGUGAACAGCCCACGCCUGGGAGUCUGAAUUUGGAUCUAUUACCAGUAGGGAGAUGAAGCAUUUCUGCUAUUGGCGUGUCAACCCCGAGAGAAGAAAAGGUUGGAUCCUGAACUGGCUCCAGUAAGGGCAUUAGGUGAUGCCCACGCCCCAUUUGAAGUGCGCCCAGUGCCUGGCUCUUCAACCCCAGCCACCCUCCCACCUGCUGUGCUCUGCUGGAAUCAUAGAUGACACCCCAGGCAGCAGCCUCAUCCCAGGAUUUCACCGGGCCCCCUCCCAUUUGCUCUUGACCCUUGAGCCUUCGCUCCAGCCUCCCCGAAACUUCAGCCCCUGACUCUACACUGCAGUUUGAGAUGCCUGCUUCUGGCCUUGCUCUUCCUCCUCACCUGGGCUCCCAGCCUUGGCUCCCUGCAAACGAGACACCGAUUCUCAUGAAACCUCAGCUCCACGGCCCCUCCCUGGGAGGCUGAGACCCCUCCAGGGAUCAGGGAGUCAAAAGGAGAGGAUGAAAGAAGCAAGGAAUCUUCUAGAACCAGGGCAGUCAGGUCCCUCCGCUACUUCUCACUGAGGCAUUUUCCAGCCCCACAGUGGGAGGGGUUGGAACCUAACCCCAGAACCACUUGGCAGGUGAGCCUCAGUUUAGAGGAUUACGUCGUGGCCACUUGGUAAGCCUGUUAAUACAGUCCACAGGGUGGGCUCCGUUCUUCUCAAUGAGUCUUUUUUUUAAAAAAAACUCCUACUGCCCUGGGAUUAAGAUAUUAUACAAGCGUAAAAGAUAGGUCUCUACUCUGGGAAGUGGAAACUGCAGCCUGUUUUGUCUGCACACACCACACUUUGAACAAGUACAACAUUUGCAUCACGGACUUUAGGCUUAGAUGGGGUGUAUUAGGGUUUUGCAGAGAAACAGAACCAAUAGAAUAUACAAUAUACACAUAAUACAUAUGCAUAUGAUUUAUUGUAAGGAGUUGGCUUAUGUGGUUACGGAGGCUGAGAAGUCCUGAGAUCUGCAGUGAGCGAGCUGGAGACCCCGGAGAGCUGACAGUGUAGUUUUAGUCCAAGUCCAAGUCUGAAGGCACAGAAGACACAUGCCCCAGACAGUCAGGCAGAGAGAACGCAUUCUCCCUCGCUCAGCAUUUUUUCCUUUCAGGCCUUCAGCUGAUUGGAUGAGGCCCACCCACAUUGGGGCGGGGGGCAGUCUUCUUUACCCACUCCAUUGCUUUAAACGUCAAUGUCAUCCAGAAACACCCUCACAGACAAGCCCAGAAUAAUAUUUGACAAAUAUCUGGGCACCCCACGGCAACUUGGCACACCAAAUGAACCAUCAUGGAUGUAUUAGAAUUUUAAAGCCCCUUUUCCUUAUUCCAUUUCUCCAGACUUCUCUGGGACACCAAGUCCAUAUUUAAAAAUAAAUAAAUAUACCCACAGUAUCCCCUGUGCACAGAGAGGAUCUUCCGUGAGUAUUUUGCCAGAAAAGUUCCAGAAAGGACCCUGAUGGAUCUGGUUUGGGUUAAGUACCCAUCCCUGAAAACCUCAGUAGGUUCACAAGGAGGGGACGUCUGAGUGGCCAGCUUGGGACACCAGACAGUCCCUAAGGGAGGGAGGCAGAGCUCCUGCACCAGGGCAUAGAAUCCACUGGCAUCCACCGGCCUUUUAAUUCAGGAGGUCGGUGAACUUGAUCUGAGAACUUGCAUUUUUAUUUUAACUAUCCUCUAACUGAAAUUGCACAUUUCUUUUCAUGACACACAUAGGCCAGUAGUAUUAAUAAUGCCUGCAACUUUAAAACCCAUAGAAAUCACAGACGGACUUUGUAUCACAUAACAGUUAAGGCAGACAUCCUGAAAUAGCCUCUGUGCUCACCACCAAUCUGAAAGUACUGUAAUUAUUAGACCCGCCCCUGACCUUGUUAGUUAAUGCAUUAAUAAAGAAACAAGGACGUAACUAUGCCACGGAUUAUAAUCUUUUUGACAAUCGUCCUUCAAUAUCGUUGGUUCCCUUUGUGACUUUGUGUGGCUUAUUUAAUGAAUUUUAAGACAUUUUUCUGAGGAUAGGUCUGUAGGCUUCACCAGGCGGCCAAAUGCGUCCCUGCCAGAGACAGACUGAGCCACGUGGGAUGGAGGGACCAGCAGUUCCCGCGAGCAAGACUAGAGCAUGCGCAGAAAAGGAGCCGAUGCUUCUGCUCCUGCUGGCAGGACGCCAGCGUUUUCGCAUUGAUUGUUACCUUCCUGUCCUUAUCAAGAACCCAUUUUGCAUCCACUUCUGGACAAGGCGCUGAUGUCGAUGGUUGUUGAAAGAGUGCGCCCUGCUUCCUUCAAAUUCUGGAUGUGGGAGACAAAUCAAGUACUUUCGAUGUAGAAGGAUUUAUCCUUAGACAUUCAUGUGUCCCUGAAGUCUUGCUGUCACUUUGGGGAGGGGGAGCAACAGAGCACAGGGGCAGGGCUGGGAGAGCUCUGAGGGCUCCCUCUUCGCCUCACGCUAGAAAACAAGUCUGCAGCGUUGAUGUGAGUGGAGAGCUAGUCUCCAUUGACCAUUUUGGAUGCACAAGUAAAUUUCACUUUUCUCUUCUCCUGGAAGCUCUUCUCUUCUUGAUUCCUUUAUUCGGGCCGCACAGAGGGACUUACAAACACAAUGGUUGUCUGCCCAUGUCCUACACAGGUACCCGGAUGUGCAGCAAAGGCACAGGUGUGGCUCCUCUAACUCCCAGAGAGUUUGUAAACACUAUGUCCACACUUCACUGUGGGUGACUGAGGUUCCCCGUCUCCACGGCCUUAUUGUUUCAGCACAGUGUUCCCAACUGGGGGCGACUUUGCCUCCCAGGGGACAUUUCACAAUGUCCGGAGACAUAUUUGGUUGUGGCAUCUGGC
ensembl:lncRNA